rnacentral:rRNA from 1 species
AACGAACGCUGGCGGCAUGCCUAACACAUGCAAGUCGAACGAGACCUUCGGGUCUGGUGUCGCACGGGUGCGUAACGCGUGGGAACCUGCCCUUAAGUUCGGAAUAACUCCCCGAAAGGGGUGCUAAUACCGGAUAAUUUCUUCGUACCAAGGAUUUAUCGCCUUUGGAUGGGCCCGCGUUGGAUUAGCUAGUUGGUAGGGUAAAAGCAUACCACGGCGACGAGCCGUAGCUGGUCUGAGAGGAUGAACAGCGACACUGGGACUGGGACACGACCCCGACUCCUACGAGCGGCAGCGGUGGGGAAUAUAGGAGCAGGGGCGAGAGGCUGCUACAGCGAGGGCGCGAGAGUGACGAAGGGGUUAGGGUCCUAAAGCAGUAUUAGCGGGGAUGAUAAUGACAGUACCGGGAGAAGAAGCACCGGCUAACUACGUG